rnacentral:sRNA from 1 species
GUUGGGUGCAGCGGCGCGCGCCUGUAAUUCCAGCAGUUUGGGAGGCUGAGGCAAGAGGAUCAUGAGUUCAAAGCCAGCAACUUGGCAAGACCCUAAGCAACUCAUUGAGACCCUGUCUUUA